GGUGAUUUAGCUCAGUGGCACAGCAUCUGCCUGGCAAACAUGAGGUCCUGAGUUCAAUUCCCAGUAGCACUC
rnacentral:tRNA from 1 species